rnacentral:rRNA from 1 species
UGGGGAAUCUUGCACAAUGGGCGAAAGCCUGAUGCAGCGACGCCGCGUGGGGGAUGAAACAUUUCGGUGUGUAAACCCCUUUCGACUGGGAAGAAUACCUCGCAAGAGGGGUGACGGUACCAGUAGAAGAAGCCCCGGCUAACUACGUGCCAGCAGCCGCGGUAAGACGUAGGGGGCCAGCGUUGUUCGGAAUUACUGGGUGUAAAGGGUUCGUAGGCGGUGCGGCAAGUUGGGAGUGAAAUCUCUGGGCUCAACCCAGAGGCUGCUUCCAAAACUGCUGUGCUCGAGUGUGAGAGAGGCUCGUGGAAUUGCAGGUGUAGCGGUGAAAUGCGUAGAUAUCUGCAGGAACACCCGUGGCGAAAGCGGCGAGCUGGAUCACUACUGACGCUGAGGAACGAAAGCUAGGGGAGCAAACAGGAUUAGAUACCUUGGUAGUCCUAGCCCUAAACGAUCAGGACUUGGGGUGCCGCCCGUUCGGGCGUCGUCCCGGAGCUAACGCGUUAAGUCCUGCACCUGGGGAGUACGGUCGCAAGACUG